UACGUAGGGGGCGAGCGUUGUCCGGAUUUAUUGGGCGUAAAGAGCUCGUAGGCGGUUCGGUAAGUCGGGUGUGAAACCUCCAGGCUCAACCUGGAGUCGCCACUCGAUACUGCUGUGACUAGAGUCCGGUAGGGGAGCGUGGAAUUCCUGGUGUAGCGGUGAAAUGCGCAGAUAUCAGGAGGAACACCGGUGGCGAAGGCGGGUCUCUGGGCAGUAACUGACGCUGGAGGAGCGAAAGCGUGGGGAGCGAACAGG
rnacentral:rRNA from 1 species